UGUCCUACGGGGGGCUGCAGUGGGGAAUAUUGGACAAUGGGGGAAACCCUGAUCCAGCGAUGCCGCGUGUGCGAAGAAGGCCUGCGGGUUGUAAAGCACUUUAGUUGGGGAAGAAAUCUCAUGAUGCGAAUAGCAUUAUGAGUUGACGUUACCCAAAGAAUAAGCACCGGCUAACUCUGUGCCAGCAGCCGCGGUAAUACAGAGGGUGCGAGCGUUAAUCGGAAUUACUGGGCGUAAAGGGCGCGUAGGCGGUUGUAUAAGUUAGAUGUGAAAUCCCCGGGCUUAACCUGGGAAUGGCAUUUAAUACUGUAUGACUAGAGUAGAGUAGAGGGAAGUGGAAUUUCCGGUGUAGUGGUGAAAUACGUAGAUAUCGGAAAGAACACCAGUGGCGAAGGCGGCUUCCUGGACUCAUACUGACGUUGAGGCGCGAAAGCGUGGGUAGCAAACAGGAUUAGAUACCCUAGUAGUCA
rnacentral:rRNA from 1 species